CCUUCCUACGGGGCGCAGCAGUGGGGAAUAUUGGGCAAUGGGCGCAAGCCUGACCCAGCAACGCCGCGUGAAGGAAGAAGGCCCUCGGGUUGUAAACUUCUUUUAUCAAGGACGAAACAAAUGACGGUACUUGAUGAAUAAGCCACGGCUAACUACGUGCCAGCAGCCGCGGUAAUACGUAGGUGGCAAGCGUUGUCCGGAUUUACUGGGUGUAAAGGGCGUGUAGCCGGGUUGACAAGUCAGAUGUGAAAUCCUGCGGCUUAACCGCAGAACUGCAUUUGAAACUGUUGAUCUUGAGUACUGGA
rnacentral:rRNA from 1 species